rnacentral:tRNA from 1 species
GUCCUGAUAGCUUAACUCAAAGCAUCGGUCUUGUAAGCCGAAGAUUGGAGGAUAAAACCUCCUCAAGACU